rnacentral:rRNA from 1 species
GAUGAACGCUGGCGGCGUGCUUAACACAUGCAAGUCGAACGGCGAACACGGAGCUUGCUCUGUGGGAUCAGUGGCGAACGGGUGAGUAACACGUGAGCAACCUGCCCCUGACUCUGGGAUAAGCGCUGGAAACGGCGCCUAAUACUGGAUAUGUGACGUGACCGCAUGGUCUGCGUUUGGAAAGCUUUUUUGGUUGGGGAUGGGCUCGCGGCCUAUCAGCUUGUUGGUGAGGUAAUGGCUCACCAAGGCGUCGACGGGUAGCCGGCCUGGGGGGGUGACCGGCCACACGGGGACUGAGAGACGGCCCAGACGCCUACGGGGGGCAGCAGUGGGGAAUAUUGCACAAUGGGCGCAAGCCUGAUGCAGCGACGCCGCGUGAGGGAUGACGGCCUUCGGGUUGUAAACCUCUUUUAGCAGGGAAGAAGCGAAAGUGACGGUACCUGCAGAAAAAGCGCCGGCUAACUACGUG